UACGUAGGGGGCAAGCGUUGUCCGGAAUUCUUGGGCGUAAAGCGCGUGUAGGCGGCCAGAUAAGUCCGCUGUGAAAUCUCGAGGCUCAACUUCGAGCUGUCGGUGGAAACUGUCUGGCUAGAGUCCGGAAGAGGAGAAUGGAAUUCCUGGUGUAGCGGUGAAAUGCGCAGAUAUCAGGAAGAACACCCGUGGCGAAGGCGGUUCUCUGGGACGGUACUGACGCUGAGACGCGAAAGCGUGGGGAGCGAACAGG
rnacentral:rRNA from 1 species